AUAGCAAGCCGGUCUAUCGCUGCAGCCAUAAGGCUGGAGAGGAAAGUCUGGGCAAUGCAGAGCACCGUGCUUCUGAACAGGAAGAUGCUCGUGAGGGUAUAGUAACGUAGCAGAAAAUAACCGCCUUCGGGUAAGGGUGAAAAGGUGAGGUAAGAGCUCACCAGCAGGUUAGGUAACUAGGCUGGCUGUACGUCUGACGGAUUGCAAGACCAUGUAUAUCACAAUUCCAUUUUGGAGCAAGGCUGCUCGUUUUGUUUCGUAAGAAGUUGUGAGGGGUAGGUCGCUGGAAAUAGCAGGUGACUGCUAUUGUAGAUAAAUGAUAGACGCUCCUUCGGGAGAGACAGGACCCGGCUUACAGGCUUGCUAUUUUU
rnacentral:RNase_P_RNA from 1 species